AAUAUUUUUAAACCUAUCUUUCUCUCUCGGUCACAGCUCCUUCAUCUCAAACUCAUCAGAAGAAGGCGGAGGAGGUAAUCGAGCUCGGACACAUGUGGGUGAUUAGCUGGGUGAUCAACGAGGGAAGAUUUUCAGAGACGACUUCCGAGCACAGACUUCAAAAGCAAGUAGAUAGGCUUUAAUUGUCAUUCAAGCUAGAUGGCCGAACUUCCUCUACGCAUGUUCUGUUUUCCUCUCAAGCUCGGUUCAACUUCACUGGUCUUGGUGGCCCCUUUCUCAAAAUAGUGCAACAUCAAAGUGGUUUACAACAAGUAAUGGCUGUUGGAUGUUGAUGCAAUCAUAACUUAGGAAGGUGUUCCAAUUGUAAACCAAUUUACUAUUGUUUCCUGAGAGGUCAAUGGCUUCAGGUAGCUGCUAAGACAAGUAUAACUCCUGGUGUCCCACCAUCAUUGAAUCCUCCUCCUUGGACAUGGUUUGUGCAUUAGGCAGUGUAUUUAUUAGCGCUUGAGAAGAAAUUAGUUCAUCCCCUACUACACAAGUCCUUCUCUGAAGAUAAGCUGCAAGUCAAAUGCAUCUAGCAGAAAGCAGAGGCGAAUCAUGAUUUCAACAACUUAAAUUGAAGGUGCGCGACUCCCAGGGUAUUGGGAUCCCUAUACCUUCGUAUAGCUAUUGUUGUUUGGAUGAACUUCAGGAAAAGAGCGGCUGCAAGUGUUUAUAUUGAUUUUAGAAAGGGAAAUUCACAAAGUGAUGCUGAAACUACGGCAACUGCGAUAGAGAUGGAGUACUUGGAGAUAUUUAAGUAGGUGGGCAAAAACUUUGAUAAAUCAUAUAAGAGAUCUACCUAAUUGGACUGGCAAGAUUAGGUGAUAAUUUUAGUAAAUUGAAUUCCGUAUUAAUGUUUUGGAUGUUUAUCCAUUUUUGUGUAUGUGAGUUUGGGAUGUCAAUGUAAACCUGAAUCCAUAUUUUAAAUAAAAUUAAGGUAUUUUCACUUUCA